GACGAACGCUGGCGGCGUGCUUAACACAUGCAAGUCGAACGGAAAGGCCCUGCUUUUGUGGGGUGCUCGAGUGGCGAACGGGUGAGUAACACGUGAGUAACCUGCCCUUGACUUUGGGAUAACUUCAGGAAACUGGGGCUAAUACCGGAUAGGAGCUCCUGCUGCAUGGUGGGGGUUGGAAAGUUUCGGCGGUUGGGGAUGGACUCGCGGCUUAUCAGCUUGUUGGUGGGGUAGUGGCUUACCAAGGCUUUGACGGGUAGCCGGCCUGAGAGGGUGACCGGCCACAUUGGGACUGAGAUGCCGCCCAGACUCCUACGGGAGGCAGCAGUGGGGAAUAUUGCACAAUGGGCGGAAGCCUGAUGCAGCAACGCCGCGUGCUGGAUGACGGCCGUCGGGUUGUAAACCGCUUUCGCCUGUGACGAAGCGUGAGUGACGGUAAUGGGUAAAGAAGCACCGGCUAACUACGUG
rnacentral:rRNA from 1 species